GUAGGUGAACCUGCGGAAGGAUCAUUACCAAUCCAAAAAAACAAUACACCUGUGCACUUUGGAAAUGUCUUUAGGGGUACGGAAGUGACCUUCUCUUAGGCUUUUAAAUGGAACAAUUGUUAUUGUUGUAUGUGCCACAUUUUGUCAAGUUGUCAAAAAGUUUGACUAUUGGAAGGGCUGCGGGCCUAUUCAAUGACUCUUUACUUUUUUGCAAAUGAAACAUUGUGUGUGCACACUAUGAUAAUAGGAU
rnacentral:misc_RNA from 1 species